GCCGUGCCUGCGGACGGUCAAUGUAAACAAGCUGUCUCGCAGCCCACCAGCAGAUUACCCUGAUGGGCCACGUGCGGCCCGUGGGCCACGGGUUGCCAACCACUGCCCUAGAGGCAGUGCUAUCUUGUCUGGGUGGACAUCUCUAGAAGCAGCUGAAACCAAGGAGAGUCAGCCCUCUGUAGGAUACCAUCAAGUGCUUUGUGUACCCAACUAGCACCACAGAUCAUGCUCAUCUAAUGAGAGAUAAUGUAUUAUGUCAGAGAAUCUAGAAGAAUUUUCAGUACAGAGGAUCAAAACCACUCCGCGCUUGUUAAAUGGAAGAAUAAAAACACAUCCUCAAUCCCAAGAAGGAAAAUAGGAGACUGAAUAGUUCAGUGAAACAUGCCCUGCAAGAUACCAACAAGAAUCCAUCUACACUGUCUUCAUUUUUACACGGCAACAGUUAAAAGGAACAAUUUGAAUGAGAUCUGCUCCAGCCAAGACCAUACUUGCCACCAAAAAUGAAAAAUAAUAUUUUCCUUUGACUGACCUGCAGAACGGAAUCAUGGCCUUAAAACUGUCAGUUCUUUUCUGUCUCACAGUGAUUUCAAUUUUUUCCCUUUAAUCAACAGACAUACUUCCGCCUCAUUAUGGCCCCUACUCAGAAAACCGUAAAGCCAGCUUGUUAUUUCCAGAGCUGCACUGGAAAAUACUAUCUACCAAAGACAUGCUCUUCAGAAACCAAGAGAGCUGGAAAGAACAAUCACAGAGACUUCAUAAAUUAUUAUAAGUAGCAUUGCUCUUAAAUGAGGUAGUGUUUUCAAAUGA